AUUUGGUCUGAGGAGCUACAGUGUGCUGUGCAAGCCCCCACUUCUCCUUGGAAGUUUGAGUUCUCUUCACUGUGCGACACAGGCAUGGCCAUCAUGCACAGCCACCCACAGAAGAGUGUUGUCCCGAUGGUCGUGAGUUGGAGACUCAUUCACCCCUCAGUGUGACAGUGACAGCCCCUGAGAGCCCCACAGAGCCGACUGGAGAUGGCUGACCCAAGGCCCUCGGGUAAGACAGUCCAGACACAGUACUUUGAAAUUUUCAUAAUUCAGUGGUAUCCACAUUUAACACAUGUGGUACAGCUGUCUGUGAAAGGUCUUGUCACUCCCCACAACUUCCAUGGAGGGCUCCCUGGCAUGUGACAGUGGAAAAGCAAGGGCCAGCAGAUGUGUGAGUCAUUUUGUGCUCCUAAAAGUAGCCCAAAAUAGCAACUGCAAACAGCCAAGCAGAACAAAGCAAAAGAAAGAAGCCCACAGAGGGGGCAGGAGAACUGACCCUAAGGGAGACCAUUGUAAGGUGUAUUCAAGAGGCUGGUGCUGAAAUCCAAUAUACUGUUUGCAGAUACUCACUCACCAAACUCGAAUACAUUCUUGCUGAUUAAAGACAU
rnacentral:lncRNA from 1 species